GGUUCCGUAGUGUAGUGGUUAUCCGUUUCCCUUUUUCGCGAAAAGGGCUCCCGGUUCGAUCCCGGACGGAACCA